rnacentral:rRNA from 1 species
GAUGAACGCUGGCGGCGUGCCUAAUACAUGCAAGUCGAGCGAACGGACGAGAAGCUUGCUUCUCUGAUGUUAGCGGCGGACGGGUGAGUAACACGUGGAUAACCUACCUAUAAGACUGGGAUAACUUCGGGAAACCGGAGCUAAUACCGGAUAAUAUUUUGAACCGCAUGGUUCAAAAGUGAAAGACGGUCUUGCUGUCACUUAUAGAUGGAUCCGCGCUGCAUUAGCUAGUUGGUAAGGUAACGGCUUACCAAGGCAACGAUGCAUAGCCGACCUGAGAGGGUGAUCGGCCACACUGGAACUGAGACACGGUCCAGACUCCUACGGGAGGCAGCAGUAGGGAAUCUUCCGCAAUGGGCGAAAGCCUGACGGAGCAACGCCGCGUGAGUGAUGAAGGUCUUCGGAUCGUAAAACUCUGUUAUUAGGGAAGAACAUAUGUGUAAGUAACUGUGCACAUCUUGACGGUACCUAAUCAGAAAGCCACGGCUAACUACGUGCCAGCAGCCGCGGUAAUACGUAGGUGGCAAGCGUUAUCCGGAAUUAUUGGGCGUAAAGCGCGCGUAGGCGGUUUUUUAAGUCUGAUGUGAAAGCCCACGGCUCAACCGUGGAGGGUCAUUGGAAACUGGAAAACUUGAGUGCAGAAGAGGAAAGUGGAAUUCCAUGCGUAGCGGUGAAAUGCGCAGAGAUAUGGAGGAACACCAGUGGCGAAGGCGACUUUCUGGUCUGUAACUGACGCUGAUGUGCGAAAGCGUGGGGAUCAAACAGGAUUAGAUACCCUGGUAGUCCACGCCGUAAACGAUGAGUGCUAAGUGUUAGGGGGUUUCCGCCCCUUAGUGCUGCAGCUAACGCAUUAAGCACUCCGCCUGGGGAGUACGACCGCAAGGUUGAAACUCAAAGGAAUUGACGGGGACCCGCACAAGCGGUGGAGCAUGUGGUUUAAUUCGAAGCAACGCGAAGAACCUUACCAAAUCUUGACAUCCUUUGACAACUCUAGAGAUAGAGCUUUCCCCUUCGGGGGACAAAGUGACAGGUGGUGCAUGGUUGUCGUCAGCUCGUGUCGUAAGAUGUUGGGUUAAGUCCCGCAACGAGCGCAACCCUUAAGCUUAGUUGCCAUCAUUAAGUUGGGCACUCUAAGUUGACUGCCGGUGACAAACCGGAGGAAGGUGGGGAUGACGUCAAAUCAUCAUGCCCCUUAUGAUUUGGGCUACACACGUGCUACAAUGGACAAUACAAAGGGCAGCGAAACCGUGAGGUCAAGCAAAUCCCAUAAAGUUGUUCUCAGUUCGGAUUGUAGUCUGCAACUCGACUACAUGAAGCUGGAAUCGCUAGUAAUCGUAGAUCAGCAUGCUACGGUGAAUACGUUCCCGGGUCU